AAGCAGGUCUCCACUUUGGGAUGAGUUAUGAAGCACCCCCAGUUCCUUUGCCAGAGACAUCUUCUGGAGGCAGAAGAGGAAGCUCUGCUUCCUGAGAAGUGUCCAUCAGCUGAGCAGUGUCCCAGCUGUCCUCUGCCAGGCCCUUCUGCCUUGAUGUCCCUGCCUUGGAGCCAGCUGACCAUGGACUGAAUGCCCUAAAACCGUGAGUAAAAAGAAACCCUUCCUCCUUCUGAGUAUUUGAUCCAUGCAAUGAAAAGCUGAGUAAUACAGCGACUCUCUUCACUUCAUCCUUAGGCAGAUGGAUCUUCGGACAUGUGAACACCAAGACAGAUCAGACUUGGUUAAAUGAAGGCUUAGGGGCCUGUGGCCCUGGGACCUUCCUUACACUACCACAGGCACUUCAGCAGGCAGAAGGUAUUCCUACGUGUGAUCAUCCCGCAUGAAUUGCACGACAAUGAACGUGGGUGAGCUCCCGGGGGGAUGAUGGGAACCAAGCCACACAUGCAGCUCCUGGAAGACCUACAGGUAUUUUAUGCCCACAGGUAUUUUGGGACCACAGGGCAAAGGCCCCUGGGAUGUCAAUGAGGAAGGCUAUGCUGCCACUGAAGCACUGCCACCCAGAGUCCCCUCUGUGACACUUUGGGAAUGAGAAAGGACCCCGCGCCUCCCAUGCGGGUGGACAGUUCACUGCAAAGCUCUAAAGGUGGAGUAUAGCAAAUGAUGUAUGGAGCUUGCUGCAGUGUGUUCCAGUGCUCUUUUCUCCAUGUUAUCCUUUCCUGUCUGAGCAAUGUGCUUUUCUUUGUCUUUGUCUUUCUCUCUUUCUU